rnacentral:sRNA from 2 species
UGUCUAUGAUCGCUGAAUUUCCGUUCCGGCGGAAAACGGGGGAACCGGCCGUGACAACCAACCGUUCGUCACACGGGGUGAAUCUCGAAAUCGCAUUCGAGUAGGGCUACUCUUGGUCCGAAUCCGACAGCUAACCUCGUAAGCGUGAGAAGAGAGGCUGC